AACUCCGUGCCAGCAGCCGCGGUAAUACGGAGGGUGCGAGCGUUAAUCGGAAUUACUGGGCGUAAAGCGCACGCAGGCGGUUUGUUAAGCUAGAUGUGAAAGCCCCGGGCUCAACCUGGGACGGUCAUUUAGAACUGGCAGACUAGAGUCUUGGAGAGGGGAGUGGAAUUCCAGGUGUAGCGGUGAAAUGCGUAGAUAUCUGGAGGAACAUCAGUGGCGAAGGCGACUCCCUGGCCAAAGACUGACGCUCAUGUGCGAAAGUGUGGGUAGCGAACAGGAUUAGAUACCCUGGUAGUCCACGCCGUAAACGAUGGACACUAGUUGUUGGAACUAUUCAGUGACUAAGCGAAAGUGAUAAGUGUCCCACCUGGGGAGUACGAUCGCAAGAUUGAAACUCAAAGGAAUUGACGGGGGCCCGCACAAGCGGUGGAG
rnacentral:rRNA from 1 species